GAUGAACGCUGGCGGCGUGCCUAAUACAUGCAAGUCGAGCGAACAGACGAGGAGCUUGCUCCUCUGACGUUAGCGGCGGACGGGUGAGUAACACGUGGAUAACCUACCUAUAAGACUGGGAUAACUUCGGGAAACCGGAGCUAAUACCGGAUAAUAUAUUGAACCGCAUGGUUCAAUAGUGAAAGACGGUUUUGCUGUCACUUAUAGAUGGAUCCGCGCCGCAUUAGCUAGUUGGUAAGGUAACGGCUUACCAAGGCGACGAUGUGUAGCCGACCUGAGAGGGUGAUCGGCCACACUGGAACUGAGACACGGUCCAGACUCCUACGGGAGGCAGCAGUAGGGAAUCUUCCGCAAUGGGCGAAAGCCUGACGGAGCAACGCCGCGUGAGUGAUGAAGGUCUUCGGAUCGUAAAACUCUGUUAUUAGGGAAGAACAAAUGUGUAAGUAACUAUGCACGUCUUGACGGUACCUAAUCAGAAAGCCACGGCUAACUACGU
rnacentral:rRNA from 1 species